rnacentral:misc_RNA from 1 species
AUUAAAAGAGCAGCAAGCAAACCGCCGUAGACCUCAAUCAUGCUUUCAGGAGGAAAUCUUGACAGGCAUAAUUGCUUCUCUUAGUCACUUUUUCCUUCCUUUUCCUUAUUUUUGUCCUUUUUGGACUUGAUGAAACAGAAACAAGAGCAGCAUGGAAGCUGUAACAAGAAUUUCAUCUUGGUCAGGGUGAUUUCAAAUGUUUGGAAAAAAGUAUGUAUAUAGAGCUCCUGCC